UUCUGGGUAACCAUUUAGUACCUUACUGUGAUAUUAAAUCAUUCUGGGUAACCAUUUAGUACCUUACUGUGAUUGCUUUGAGUUAAAAUGGUCAAAAAGGAACAAAAAUAGCUUCUUAACGAAGAGCAAUUUCUCAAGCAAGAAUUUUGCACGUUUUGAGUGGGGAGCGGAAAACAGAAAAUUAGCUGUUAUUGGCAGAGGGGUUUGGAACUUUUUCUUAUUGGUCUAUUAACUAAUUUACCACAUGGUGAUGUCACCAUGGAAGGCCAAAACUCACUCYCACCAAAACAGUCUGAAAUUUCAGGCGGCCUUUUCAAACCGCUCUUACACUGAAAUGGCAUCAUCAUUUUCACAAUUUCACAGUAUUAUUCCAAAUUCAUAGUGUGGAAAUGUAUAUAAAUUGUUUGUCAGUAGCAGUGUGGUAGGAGGUGUGAUUUGGGUGGAUAUUCUAGAUGUUCUAUGUCAGUAGCAGUGUGGUAGGAGGUGUGAUUUGGGUGGAUAUUCUAGAUGUUCUCUGUCAGUAGCAGUGUGGUAGGAGGUGUGAUUUGGGUGGAUAUUCUAGAUGUUCUCUGUCAGUAGCAGUGUGGUAGGAGGUGUGAUUUGGGAGGAUAUUCUAGAUGUUCUCUGUCAGUAGCAGUGUGGUAGGAGGUGUGAUUUGGGUGGAUAUUCUAGAUGCUCUCUGUCAGUAGCAGUGUGGUAGGAGGUGUGAUUUGGGUGGAUAUUCUAGAUGCUCUCUGUCAGUAGCAGUGUGGUAAGAGGUGUGAUUGGGAGUGCAGUAGUAAGCAUGUUCACUGCUCUAGAAACACCUGCUGCAAUAACCCCCACCCCAGGACAGAAUACUGCCAUGCAGGGAGGAACCGCUAGUAAAGACAUCUAGACCCCCAAUUGAAGUUGGUUGGUUAGGGUGUCUAUUUUCAGUUCAAUAUUUACCAGGUAUUACAUGGUCAUAAUAUUAAAAUGACAUGACAAUUACUCUGUUACCAUGUUCUAUUGUGUAGUCUUCCAUUUUAUUUCUUAAAGCACAAUUUCCCCAUAAACCCUGGCGAGUACCAACUUAGACAGGGCUGUGCAGUAUUACCAGCAGACAUACCAUGUAGCUUCACUCAGACAGCUUCACACACACCUCUUGAAGAUUUACAGUAGAAACCUGAGGAGAGGGUUGUUGAUCGCAGGGUUUACAAUAGAAACCUGAGGAGAGGGUUGUUGAUCGCAGGGUUUACAGUAGAAACCUGACGACUGACGAGAGGGUUGUUGAUAGCAGGGUUUACAGUAGAAACCUGAGGAGAGGGUUGUUGAUAGCAGGAUUUACAGUAGAAACCUGAGGAGAGGGUUGUUGAUAGCAGGAUUUACAGUAGAAUCCUGAGGAGAGGGUUGUUGAUAGCAGGAUUUACAGUAGAAACCUGACGACUGACGAGAG